AAAAUAAACAACAUUUAAUUAAUAAUAAUGAAAAGUUUGAAUUUUUUAAGUAAUGAAACUGAUUAAUAAAUUUGGCGGCAACAGAAACGAUAUAUACGCAAUCCUGACAAAGUGUUCAUAUUGUUACUUAUUACUUCUUACUCAUUAAUUUUACUCAGGUGUUUGAUUAUUUAGUGGACUUUAAAUUUAAAUUAUCUUAGUCUUCAGUAAUUAAGUUAAAAUCAUGAAUAUUAUAUGUGCAAUCUGUAUCAUAAGUUUUCAAUCGUCUGAUGAAGUACAGGGAACAAAAUGUGGGCACGUUUUUCAUUAUCGUUGCCUACGUAAUUGGUUAAAGAGAUCUAAAACAUGCCCUCAAUGUCGUGAACCAGUUUCUUCAUCGAAAACAUAUCCAAUGUAUUUUAAUUUUUCCGAUGAUGAAUCAAACUGUGAAGAAAUAGAAAAAUUCCAACAAAUAAUAGAUAAACUCCAACAAGAUAUAAAUAAAAUACAACAAGAAAAAGACACAUACAUAUCGAGCUUACUUAAACAUAUUGAAAAUGAUGAAAAAAAAAUUGAUGCUUUAAAAUUAGAAAAAUCAAACUAUCGAAACGCUCUUAAAAAAUUACAAGAAUCUCAAGAAAACUUGAAAAAAGAUAUUGAUUAUUAUAAAAAAUCUGAACAAAAUACUCUACAAAAAUACACAAAAAAACUCGACAAAUCGGAAAAAUUACGCCAAAAAUCCGAAGCAAAAAUUCGUCAGCUUACAGAAGAAGUUUUUUCGUGGAAAACAAAACAUAAUCUUUUGCAAAUUCAGCUUUCAAACAGAAAAGUUUCACAAAAACCAUCAAGUACAAGGUCAGCAUACGAUACUUCAUCUAAUGCAAACUCUGAUGGAACAAGAGUCCCAUUAAAACGACGUUUAAAUACAAAUAAUAAAGAAAAUAUACUGCCAGAGUCCAAUCAAAAAUUAUCAUCGUAUUCAACAUCUACUGUUAAAAGAAAUACUGGAGUAACAAAAAAACCUAAGCCAAAGAACGACGGAGAAAUUGUGGAUUUAAUUACUCCAGUUGAGGAAACAAUAUCGAGAAAUAAUCGUGCCCCAGCACAUUCUAAAAGGGCCCUACGUAGUAACCAACCAUAAAUUUCAGCGUUCUAUUUUAUAUCUAUCAUUAAGUUUUGAAAAUUUUUUAAGCAAAUGUAUUUUUUUAUUAUAACUUAAAAGGAUAAUUUUUAUUAUAACUUAAAAGGAUAAAUGAUGAAAAUCAUAAAUGUAACUAGUAAUUUAACAUUUUUUCUAAAUUACUUGGAACUAUAACCGAUUAUUAAUAGUUUAUCAUUGAAUUUCAUUUAAUAUAUAUGCAUUGAAGGAAAGAAAAAAUAUUUAACUAAUAAUAGAACUUCGAGAAUACAGUACUUAUGACAAAUGAAAUCAUCAAAUGGAAAGUAAAUUAUUAUGUAAAAAAUUUUCUAUUUUCAUGCGAGUGGGUAUAGAAAAUAAAUGUAUACUAGGUUUUAUAUCGAUAAAUUUCAAUGAACAAAAAAAUAGUUUAUCGAAAAGCAGCUUAGUUGCUCACUUGAAAACUUAGAAUAUUAUUUUUUUUUUUUGAUUAUUUUUGUUAAAGUUUGUUGAUUAUUUCAUCAUAGAUUAUAUUUUCGUUCAUGUAAAUAAAUAAUUAAAAUGAAUUAGUUCGAACAAUUAAAUCUAUUCUAAACUAACGUAAUCAAAUAUAGAUAAUAAAUGUAACAAUGUGAUAAUAGUGAUAUAAAUAGUAUGUAUAUUGUACCUCUAUUCUUAGAAAUUAUAAAUUGCCAACUAUGGUUUUUAACUUAUAGAAAUAAUCAUUUGAAGUGUGAAGAUAUACAUUACUUUAAACUUCUUUCUUUAUAAUUA